rnacentral:rRNA from 1 species
GGGUCAUUGGAAACUGGGGAACUUGAGUGCAGAAGAGGAGAGUGGAAUUCCACGUGUAGCGGUGAAAUGCGUAGAGAUGUGGAGGAACACCAGUGGCGAAGGCGACUCUCUGGUCUGUAACUGACGCUGAGGAGCGAAAGCGUGGGGAGCGAACAGGAUUAGAUACCCUGGUAGUCCACGCCGUAAACGAUGAGUGCUAAGUGUUAGGGGGUUUCCGCCCCUUAGUGCUGCAGCUAACGCAUUAAGCACUCCGCCUGGGGAGUACGGUCGCAAGACUGAAACUCAAAGGAAUUGACGGGGGCCCGCACAAGCGGUGGAGCAUGUGGUUUAAUUCGAAGCAACGCGAAGAACCUUACCAGGUCUUGACAUCCUCUGACAAUCCUAGAGAUAGGACGUCCCCUUCGGGGGCAGAGUGACAGGUGGUGCAUGGUUGUCGUCAGCUCGUGUCGUGAGAUGUUGGGUUAAGUCCCGCAACGAGCGCAACCCUUGAUCUUAGUUGCCAGCAUUCAGUUGGGCACUCUAAGGUGACUGCCGGUGACAAACCGGAGGAAGGUGGGGAUGACGUCAAAUCAUCAUGCCCCUUAUGACCUGGGCUACACACGUGCUACAAUGGACAGAACAAAGGGCAGCGAAACCGCGAGGUUAAGCCAAUCCCACAAA